UACGUAGGGGGCAAGCGUUGUCCGGAAUCAUUGGGCGUAAAGAGCGUGUAGGCGGCUCGAUAAGUCUGCUGUGAAAGUCCAGGGCUCAACCCUGGAAGGCCGGUGGAAACUGUCGGGCUAGGGUCCGGAAGAGGCGAGUGGAAUUCCCGGUGUAGCGGUGAAAUGCGCAGAUAUCGGGAGGAACACCAAUGGCGAAGGCAGCUCGCUGGGACGGUACUGACGCUGAGACGCGAAAGCGUGGGGAGCAAACAGG
rnacentral:rRNA from 1 species